UGAGUAACCUGCCCUUAACUCUGGGAUAAGCCUGGGAAACUGGGUCUAAUACCGGAUAUGACUCCUCAUCGCAUGGUGGGGGGUGGAAAGCUUUUUGUGGUUUUGGAUGGACUCGCGGCCUAUCAGCUUGUUGGUGAGGUAAUGGCUCACCAAGGCGACGACGGGUAGCCGGCCUGAGAGGGUGACCGGCCACACUGGGACUGAGACACGGCCCAGACUCCUUCGGGAGGCAG
rnacentral:rRNA from 1 species